rnacentral:tRNA from 1 species
GCCGAGGUGGCGAAAUUGGUAGACGCGCCAGACUCAAAAUCUGGUGGUGGCAACACCGUGCGAGUUCGAGUCUCGCCCUCGGCACCA